rnacentral:SRP_RNA from 1 species
GCCAGGUGUGGUGGCAAGCACCUGUAGCCCCAACUACUUGGGAGGUUGAGGCAAGAGGAUUGCUUGACUCCAGGAGUCCUGGCUGUACUGUGCUAUGCUUAUCAGACAUCCACACUAAGCUCAGCAUCAAUAUAGUGACCUCCUGGGAACAGGGAACCACCAGGUAACCUAAGGAGGGCUGAACUGGCCCACAUCAGACAUGGAGAAAGUGAAACUCCCAUGCUGAUCAGUAGUGGGAUCGUGCCUGUGAAUAGCCACUGCACUCCAGCGUGGGCAGCAUAGUGAGACCUCAUCUCU